CUCAUUCAUUUCUGCCACUGCCAGGCCUGCCACCUGGAGGAAGAGGAAGAGGAAGAGGAAGGAGGAGGAGGAGGAGGAGGAGAGGAGGAGGAGGAGGCAAUGGAGAUGGAGAUGGAUAGAGAUGGAGGUGGAGGAGGAGGAGGAGGAGGAGGAGGAGGAGGAGGAGGAGAAGGAAAAGGAGAAGGAGAAAAAGAAGGAGAAGGAAGAGGAGGAGGAGGAGGAAAAAGAGGAAGACGAAGUAUGUCAGCAUGCUAGAAGAAGCAAACACCACCAGCACUGAAGCAAGGCUCCUACACCAUCAACUCCACUGUACUGAAGGCCACAUUGUACGAAUGCCCGAUCACCAUCUCCCAAAGCAGUUACUCUACUCCCAACUCAAGAAUGGAAAAUGGAAUGUUGUUGGACAGGAAAAGAGAUUUAAAGAUGGGCUCAAAGCCAACCUUAAAAACUGUAGCAUAGACACCUAGAACUGCGAAGUCCUGGCCCUUGAGCACGCUAGCUGGAGGUCAGCUGUGACCAGCAGUGUUGUGGAAUUUGAAGAGGCACAAAUGGAGGGUGAAAGGGAGAAACAUGCCAAGAAGAAAGUGUGUCAAGCUAACCCUGAUUGGGACUGCCUUCCACCUGGAAACUGAUGCCCUCACUGCGGAAGAACAUGCGGGUCAAGAAUAGGGCUCUACCUACGCAUCCACCGCCAAGACACUACCCUUGGAAGGCUUGAACAAUGAAGAAUCACCUAAGUAAGAAAAUAAUUAUUAUUACUGAACAUUUAUUAUAGAAUUGCUUUAUUAACUGACUGCAUAUUUACAAAAAGACAGAACUUCCUCUGCAGGGGUAGAGUUAAUUCCUCCACAGUGAUUACUCCUUGGAAAAAAAGAAUUGAGUAGAAAAUAGCUUCUAUUAAAAUCCAUUUAAAAACA